UGUCACUGGCAUAUUUGUGGGGU
rnacentral:misc_RNA from 1 species